rnacentral:tRNA from 2 species
GAUCGCUUAGCUCAGCGGUAGAGCGGCAGACUUCGAUCUUCGAAGGACUUCAGCGAGCGCUGUUGGCAUUCUGCAGGCCGCGGGUUCGAGCCCCGUAGUGAUCU